AUACGGGAUUUAUCGAGAAUCGAAUGAUAAAGCGAUUAGUGGAUUAAAUUGGACGAAAGAAAAGUUAGAAAUUGAAAGGUAUGGAGGUGGCAACUUCAAGGAUUAAAGGAGGCACUUUGCCAAUAAUAUAUAAACCCUUUUCAUUUGAUUUAAACCAGCAAAAAAAUCAAAUUCAGCUAGCAAAAUCGUUCAUCCUACUCCUCCAUUGAAGAACAUUCAACAAAACUUGAAAUCACCAUAACUUUUUCAUUUGUGGUCCGAUUGAUGCGAUUCUUGCGGCCACGGAAAGAGGAAGACGACCUCUACUGAUUGAGACCAGAAAUUUAAGGUGUUUAUUAGCUUCCAUGGACCAAUUUUGAUGAUGAAUCUUGGAGCUAGACCCUUUGGAUUUGAGGCUUCAAUCAAGGGAUAGCAUGAUAUUAUUUGGAAAGUCAAGCUUCCGAAGUUUUAAUUCUCGGAAGUCAUUUGCACAAGAAGUGAAAGAAGGUUUUCAUUCUAGCAGUCCGCAGUAGUCUAGAUUUUUUUGUCUAUGUAUUUGACUAGCGCAUUUUAACUCUGAUAUUUUUGUAAAAUGGGGUCACAUGUAUUUUGAUAUAUGAAAAAAAUGAUUUGAUUUACGAAAAA